rnacentral:rRNA from 1 species
UACGGAGGGUGCAAGCGUUGUCCGGAAUCACUGGGCGUAAAGGGCGCGGUAGGCGGCUCAUGAAGGCUGUGGUGAAAGUCCGGGGCUCAACCUCGGAUCGGCCGUGGCGACUCGUGGGCUGGAGCACUGUAGAGGCGGGUGGAAUUCCGGGUGUAGCGGUGGAAUGCGUAGAGAUCCGGAAGAACACCAGUGGCGAAGGCGGCCCGCUGGGCAGUGGCUGACGCUGAGGCGCGACAGCGUGGGGAGCAAACAG